rnacentral:lncRNA from 1 species
UUUACAUUGAAUUAAGUAAUUAUGGAACGAACUUAGGGUUUUCUUAAAUGAACCUUGGUGGAACUUUGAACUAAUGUUUGAUGGAUUAUAAGAGACCUAUGUUUAUGCCUAUAUGAUUAAUUAAGAUCGAGUUGUAGGUUUUCAAACUUGAACAAGUUACUUAGCUUUGAAAAUUAUCAAUGUUGGCCGUUUUGCCACUUGAUAUGGACUUUGUCGAUAAUGAUUCUUGUAAGUCAUUUAACUUGUAAACCUUGGUGAAUAGCUUUUUAU